GAGGUUAAGCGACUAAGCGUACACGGUGGAUGCCCUGGCAGUCAGAGGCGAUGAAGGACGUGCUAAUCUGCGAUAAGCGCCGGUAAGGUGAUAUGAACCGUUAUAACCGGCGAUUUCCGAAUGGGGAAACCCAGUGUGACUCGUCACACUAUCAUUAACUGAAUCCAUAGGUUAAUGAGGCGAACCGGGGGAACUGAAACAUCUAAGUACCCCGAGGAAAAGAAAUCAACCGAGAUUCCCCCAGUAGCGGCGAGCGAACGGGGAGGAGCCCAGAGCCUGAAUCAGCAUGUGUGUUAGUGGAAGCGUCUGGAAAGGCGCGCGAUACAGGGUGACAGCCCCGUACAC
rnacentral:rRNA from 1 species